rnacentral:rRNA from 1 species
AUUGAACGCUGGCGGCAGGCCUAACACAUGCAAGUCGAACGCGUGGCGGACGUAAGAGUCAUGUCUGGGACUCUGCCUGAUGGAGGGGGCUAACUACUGGAAACGGUAGCUACUACCGCAUACCCUCGCCUGUGUCCAGAUGGGAUUAGCUAGUAGGUGGGGUAAAGUCUCACCUAGGCGACGAUCCCUAGCUGGUCUGAGAGGAUGACCAGCCACACUGGAACUGAGACACGGUCCAGACGCCUACGGGAGGCAGCAGUGGGGAAUAUUGCACAAUGGGCGCAAGCCUGAUGCAGCCAUGCCGCGUGUAUGAAGAAGGCCUUCGGGUUGUAAAGUACUUUCAGCGGGGAGGCGUUACCCGCAGAAGAAGCACCGGCUAACUCCGUGCCAGCAGCCGCGGUAAUAC